rnacentral:rRNA from 1 species
ACUCCUACGCGACGCAGCAGAGAGGAAUCUUCCACAAUCGGCCAAAGCCUGAUGGAGCAACGCCGCGUGAAGGAUGAAGGCCCUCGGGUCGUAAACUUCUUUUAUAAGUGAAGAAUAUGACGGUAACUUAUGAAUAAGCACCGGCUAACUACGUGCCAGCAGCCGCGGUAAU